UAGAGCGAGGCCGGCGCCGGCGCCCCCUGCCGGAGGGACUCGCGGGCAGCGGGCGGGGCGCGCGGGAAGCCGGGGGCAGCCUCCGCGUCCCGGCGGUGGCCUUCUGCGCCCGCCUGUGGGUUUGCGCCUCGGACCGCUGGUACACAAAGGUGGCGCCUUCGGGCGUCCAGUCGGACCUCGCGGGAGCCGCCCACGGUGCACAGGCGUCCAGAGCAGUUGCCACCAACCUUCGGGGGUCGGAAAACCCGGAAACGUAGGUCACAAAUCAGAGACUCCAAGCGACACUUCACCCAACCUCUGUACUGGGGCAAAUCAUGGAGCCACGGGUCCCAGAAACUCAAGACCCGGGAGGAAGAGAAGCAAGGGCUUGGCAAAGGGGAUGUUCAGGCAAAGAAACCGUCACCGCGGGCUCCUGGCCAAGGCCCGUAGGGACAAAGAUGUCCCUCCAAAAUGCUCAGGCACUUCUGGGAGUGGAGCUGCGUGGAGAGAGCCCGCGGGAGAGCGAUGCUAUCUGAAGCCACCGCAGCUUUUGGUUUACUGUUAAAAGCAAAUUGUGUCAUUUUACCCAUUAAAGGUCGAACGCUAUUUGUUCUUUGCAGAACCCCAGAACAUGCAGAAUUAAUUUGCUUCACUUGUAAAAGACGUUUUGAACGCAAUUCAAAUAGCAUACUUUCUUGCUUAUUCUUGGUUUUGCUUAGCACAUGCAAAGGUCUGGAUUUGGAAGGCCUGAUCCUCUUGUUUGUAACUGAGGAAUUUUCUCCCCCCCCCCCUCUCUUGGAGGAAAGAUUUGGAUUAUCCUGCCAUUCUGUUGUUUGUUUUCUGACAUUUAUCUUUUAACUGAUUACCAAGCAGUUUGUUUAGUGUUUUUGCUGGAGCAUUAUUCUCUGUUAAUUGGUGUGAAUUAGGGAGAGACCUGGCCUCUGUGCCAGACCCACAGGAGGCUGGUGAGCUUGCCUGCCUGGAAUUGCCCCCCACAGAUUCAGACAUGGCAGAAAAUAAAAGUUCUCUAGCUAUGGUCAGCUGACAAAAUGGCUGGACCAGCCCAGGCCCCACCCUGUUCAAAUUAUUUAGGCCUCAAGCUCUCUCUGCCCAAUUUGUCUGGAGGAACAUCUCACACAGUUCUCAUUACUAAUACACAUUAGGGGGUCUGAUUGCAGCUGGCCAGGGCCCCACUGGAAAUCCAGAGGAAGAAUGGGAAAAAAAUGCCCACUCUUGGCUGGGUGGUAAAAUCAUUAUCAAACUUCCUGGACCCCAAGCUCCUUCCUCAGGCCAUCCUUCUGCCCACACUGGUGCCUCUGAACUGGGGGCUGCUCUCCAGGGUGUUGUUUGAGGUCUACCAGGUGUUUAUCUUUGGGUUUUUCCUCAUUUUACCUUUCCUUGGGGGCCCUUACAGAUGCUUUUAGAAUAAGCAAGUUUUAAGAGUUGGUCUUGAAGCACUUAGUUCCAAACCCCUCCAUUCUGGAAGAAGUGAAAAACAGACAGAGGCUGCAAAGAAGGGUCCUCUGAGCCCUGCUCCGAAAAACUCAGUCACUCGGGAAGACUCUGACACUUCUAUGGGACUGUGUGCCUUGGAGAAGGAGAUCCUUUGGCCAUUUCCCAUGGUUUUCUUGUCAAUAACUCCAGCCUGCGUUCCCUGUCUCUCACUCCUUCUUCCCCCUCUCCCUCUUGGUUCAGAACUGAAAGAUAAACACAAUAAGUAAAAUCAGGAAGCACAAGCCUUCUCAGUGACUAGCAAAAUGACUUAGAUCCAAGGCCAAACUGCAGGUACACACUCCUUCCCACCUGUUAGUUAUGAGUUGCUUCAUAACAAAAUGCCGCAGAAUAUAACAGCUUCAAACAGUAAACUUAGUUUAUCGUUUCACAUAAUUCAGCAGGCCAAGAAUUCAGGAGAGGCUUAGCUAAGUGGUAGUUUCAGAGUCCCCCAGGAGGUUGCAGGCAGAUGUCAACCAGAGUUGCAGUCACUGGAAGCCUUAAGGGACUGGAGGAUUCUCACAAGGCCAUCUCGGUGCCUCAUGCUGGGCAGAUGAGUGCUGAGUACUGAACCUCUCUAUGGAGACCUUGACUAUGGUCACUGCAUGGCAACUCACUGACCCCAAAGGAGAGCCACACAGUAGGUGCAGUGUCUUCUAUAACCCAGCCUUAGAAACGCAUAGCAUCAUUUCUGCAAUGCCCUGUUGUCAUGUUUCUGGGCCCUCUUCAUCACAGAAGAGAUCUAGACAGGAACAUGUACACCAGGAGGUAGAAAUCAUUGGAAUCCCACAUCACCUCUAUGGGAGGCAGCUACAUGGAUAGGCCUCGGGAUAGGCCGCAAGCAAGAGGGAGAGAAAAGGUGCACACUUUUCUGUACUAGAAAAAGUAAAAGGCCAUGCCAGGCACUCCUUGCAGGCUACAACAAGGCCUUAGGCACCAGGGAAGAACAUUCCAGGUGGAGUGAAGGGUCAGAGUCAAGGCUUCCAGCCAGAGAUACCUGAGAAAUAUCUGAGGAACAUCUUGGAGUCCAGGUUGGAGACUGUGUGGCUUAAACUGUGUUUUCCUCAUGAAUAGUAAUGUUGAGUAUUUUACAUUUUACUAUAGUAACAUUGCAUUUUUUAUACCCAUUGACUAUUGUAUGCCUUCUUUUGUGGAAAUAUGUCUUCAAAUAUUUGGUUAAUUUUUUAAUUGGAUGAUAUCUUCUCAUCUUUGAGAAAUUUUUUUUGAGGAGUUCUCAUUUUUAAGAGUUCUUUUAUGAGUUCCAGAUGCCAAUCUUAUUUCAGACUAAGACAUAGAAAUGUACUUGUCCAGUUGCUGACUUGUCUUUUCAUUCAAGAAGAUAAACAGCCAAACUCACCAGGAUAGAAGUCUCCAUUUCCCCACUCUGUGCUCCUUACCUGUCUGACCCCCUGAACUUACACAAACAGCUUGGCAUAGUCAGGAGAGAUCCAAGGUCACUAAACCCAAAGACCAUUUUCAUUCUCCCCUUUAGCCUUUCUGCAGCACUCUCUCCUGGACCCCUCCCUCCUCAGCUUUGAUGAUGUCAAGUACUGUGGAUGCCCUCUUUGAGAUGGGCUCACAGAGGGAGGGAGGAGGCAAGGUGGCUGUACAAGUCUUGGUAAAGUAACACUGGCAGUUUCCAUAUUUCCAGCUUAUAGACUACAUAACCUGCUCAUAAGCUCAUCCUGAAAUUACACAUCCAUCCCAAACCACGGUGUUUUUGUAAAGCAUAUUCUCUCUCAAACCAUUUAUUUCUCUGCACAGCUAUUUAAGCUUUCCUGUCUCCAAAAACUCAGAUUCAGAAACAAUAAGCCAAGGAUUCCGAUUCUCACCGAGAACUACAAAAGUCAGAAGUUCACCAAGCUUGAGUGUCGUAGUCAUCGUGACAAAGAAACCAUCUUCAACUCCUGAUCUUUUUGUCAGGAAGUGGGGGCUGCAGGAGGAAGCUACAGGAAAUCGUUUUUUCCCUUUGUAGUUCAUCGUUUGUAUGAAGAAGGCUCCCACCUGGCAGGUGGUGAUCUUGGGGAGACUCUGACCAGUCAAAGCUCUAGUGUGAAUCUCUUUAGUCAGCUGGGCAAAUAAAUGUCUCACGGUUUAUUUUCCUCCCUUGUCACCAAAUAUGUGAUGUCUCAGCUAACACCAGAUAUCUGACGGAAAAUCAGGUUGGCCUCCAACAUCUGAAUUCCAUUGUGACACUAACCGCCCAGAGUCAGCCUCAGACUUCACAGGUUGAAGGGCUCAGACCUCAAGACUGCACUGAUGCCAGCUGCACCUACUGAUUCCUGGGUGCUUACCUGGGAUUUCUGUCUGACUUGCUACAAAUGCAAAGGUUCCCACAAAUCCCUCCUCUAAAACACCCUGCAGAACUCCGGAACACACUGUCCCUUACUGUUACUGGUUUACCAUAAGGACAAAGGAUACGACUCAGGGAUCACCCAGUGGAAGAGAUGCAUGGGGUGAGGUGUGGGGUUGAGGGGAACGGAGCGUCCCUGCCCUCUCCAGGCACAUCCAUCCCCCCAGAACCGGGACCUGUUCACCAGCGUGGAAGCUCUCUGAACCCUGUCAUCUAGGGGAUCGCGUGGAGUCUUCAUUGGGUGGGCAUGACUGACUACACAUCAUUGUCAGGGGUGGGGCGGAAAGCCCCAACUCUCUAGUCGAGGCUUCAUCUUUCUGGCGAGCAGCCCCUAACCUGAAGCUAUCCAGGGCCACAGCCACCAGCCAUCCCAUGAGCACGAAUUCAGAAAAGGUCUGGCCGCUCGUUAUGAAUGAUGCCUGAUGCUCAUCACAGGAAAUUCCUAGAGUUUUAGGAGCUCUGGGCCAAGAACUGGUGACAAAGACCAAAUAUAUGUUUCCCAUUACUCCACACACAUAGUCAGAAUGUUUUUCCUGAUGCAGGAAUUAAAAAUAGUAAUAAUUCAUUCUUUAAAAAAAAUCAAUAAACCGAGAUGUAUGUUUAUCACCAUGGUUACUACUUCAUGAUUAUUAUGUUAAAACACUAAUGUCACUAGGAUUUUGUUCAGUGAUGUUUCAUGUCUAUGAUAUCUUUCAAAAUCCCUUUUUAAGAUAAUUUAUUUCUUAGUCUUCAAAGUGAGGUAGUCUGGGAUGGUGGUUCUUCAGCAGGCUGAGGCAGGAGGAUAACAAGUUCAAGGCCAACCUCAGCAACUUAAUGAGAGUCUGAAUUUUUUUAAGGGGGGUGGGUGGGAACUGGGGAUGUAGCUCGGUAAUAAUCACUUAUCUAGCAUUUGCCAAGUACUGGGUUCAAAGGACAGUACCACAAAACAGAAACGAUACAAAGCAAAACUAAGGUAGACUCUUUAUCCCCUAUGGAUCAAUGCUAUAGUUUAAACAUGGAAUUUCCCUCAGAGGCCCUUGAAUUAAAAGCUUAGACAUGGUGGUGCUGUUGGGAAGUGGUGAGAGGUGGGGUCUUGUGGGAGGUCCUUAGGUCACUGGGUAUGUUCCCCCAAAAGGAAUUGUGGGAACUUGACCUUUUCUCUUUCACUGGUCCCUGGCUCACAAGUGUUUUCACUCCAACACACACUUCUUGCACACACUCCUUGCCAUAGGCCCAAAAUAAUGGGGCCAACGGAUGAUGGACUCCAAAACUGAGAGCCAAGAGAAAACCUUUCCUCUUCACAAGUUGAUUGCCUCAGGUAUUUGUUGUAGUAAUGGAAAACUGACUAACACAAUAAAAAAAUCACCUGUUUUACUGGACAGUGCUUAAACACACAACUGCUCUCUUGAAUAACACAAUCUCUGAAAUACAUUAAAAGCUAUGGUUCCACUAGUAAAGCUACUGGAAGCCGAGACCUAUAGUGAGCAGUCUUACAUUCAGCCUGCUGGUUUUGAUGUAUGUUAGGGAUUGAACUGUGUUUUCCAAAAAGAUGUUGAAGUUCUAAUACUAGGAACAAAUCCCUCCCUGGGGCCUUCAGAGGAAGCCAGUCUCGCCCACACCUUGAUCUCAGACUUCUGGCCUCGAGAACUGUGAGACAAUAAUUUCUACUGUUUAAGCCACUCAGUUUUGUGUUCUUGGUUGUGGUGGUCCGAGAAAACUAAUAUUAAAUAGUAGUGAGCAUAGAUCAGAGACAGCCCUCUCAAAUUCUAAUUAUCAUAAAACAAACAACACGAAAUUGUUGAACAUAAAUUAUCUCAACUAGACUAAACACACAUUCACACACACAUGCACACACUAUUCUCUGUGUUAGAAGAAGAAGACCACAGUUCUCUCAUUCCCAGGAGGGUGUGACUGAUGAUCCAGUGAUCCUCUUGUAGAUAUGAAUGUGCUUACUCCCUGGGGUUGAUCUAGGCCAUUCUUGAACUGGAUCCACCACAGGGGACCUCAUUAAAGGAAAACCCAGAACACCCAGGAAAAGGAGAGCAGUCUUGUGUAGCUCUGCAGAGGGAUGGAAGCCUUCAUGCUUAACAAAUCCUAGUGUACUGGGUCAAGACAUGUCCCAUAAGGUUUCUCCCAUAAGGUUUUGGGUCCUUCAUGCCAACAAGGGCUUUCUACUACUGUGCCAUUAAUAAGAUGUGGUGGUCCUCUGUGAGACUUAGACAGUCCUUGAAUGUGAGGAGAUGGGAUACGUUCAGACACAGAUGUAGGUUACGAUUCCUGUCACAGUUUAGAAGGUCAGUGUGUAACGGGAUGACUACAUGAUGUCGCCUUUCUCAUCACCCCAUGAGGGUGCAUGCAGCUUCUCUCCAUUUUCUUUUUAAUUUCUAUUUUAUUUUUUCGGCACCGAGGAUUGAACCCAGGGGUGCUUAACUGAUGAGCCAUAUCUCCAGGCCUUUUAAUUUUUAAAUUUGGAGAUAGGGUCUUGUUAAUUUGCUUAGGGCCUUGUUAAGUGGCUGAGGCUGGUCUGGAAUUUGCGAUCCUCCCGCCUCAGCCUCCUGAGCCACUGGGAUUACAAGCAUGCUCCACUGUGCCCUGCUCUCUCCAUUAAAAAAAAAUGGUAGUUGUAGAUGGAAAGCAUCCUUUAUAUUAUUUGCUUAUUUGUGUGUGUGGUGCUAAGGAUGGAACCCAGUGCCUCACCCACACUAGGCAAGCACUCUGCCACUGAGCCACAGCCAAAGCCCCUCCAUUUUAUUUUUGAGAUUUCUUUUUUAAGGGAUUUAUAGGUGAAACCCACCUGUGUGCGCAAUGAAAAUGUUGUUGUGGACAUGAGAACCGUCUCGUCAGUUGGAGGAAAUUGUCUACUAAAGCCAAUGUUUUACUCUUCUGGGAGGUUGAGACAUUGAACAGAGGAAGAAGCAGGGAAAAUUCAGCAAACCAAUCUGCUUGUCUCUUCCACAACAGACAGUUAACAGGAAAAUCAACACGACUGAUCAGGACGUAUAUGAAAAGCAAAUACUUAAUUUGAUCCGUAAUCAGAGAAAUGCGAAAUGAAAUAAAGUCCUAUUUUUGUAAUGGCAAACAUUUUAAGGGAAACCGGUAUUCCCAAUCACUGUGAGUGGGAAUGUAUAGUGGAAUACACCCCCGUGGUGCCUUAGUGUACCCACCUCAGAGCUGACCUACUGUGCAGGGACACAGUGGCAGAGUGCUUAUCAGUGAUGUCCUUUAAACUUUCCUGAGUUCGAAUGUGACUUCUAUUCACAUAACCUUGAUUUUUUUUUUGUUUGUUUGUCAAGAUUAGUUGAGUACUUGAAAUGUAAUACUCUUAGGAAAAAAAAAUGAUCUUUUGGAUAUGAUUUAGCCUAAUGCAGGGGCAGGUGCCUGUAAUCCCAGAGACUCAGAAGGCUGAGCCAAGAGGAUCAAAAUUUGAGACCGGGCUGGGCAACUUAGCAAGACCCUGUCUCAAAAUAAAAAUAAAAAGGGCUGGGGAUGGUGUUCAGUGGGAAAGAAAAAGGUAUGAUUUAAACCACUAUUAUGUCAAAUAGCUGGUCACCAGAAAUCUUUACAGAAGGAUCAAGAAGCUCUAAAUCAGUAUUACUCAAAGUAAGGCGGUCUGUGAACACUUCAUCAGGUCCAUGACAAGAUGGAAUGCAAGUCAAGGCGUGGUUUCCUUCACCCAGAAAGUCUUGCUUAGUAAAAUCAUUAGCUGAACAGUGAGCAUAGCGUGUAAGGUGACACACUCUAGCACAAGUUCUUCAUCUUGCAGCACACUUAAAUGCAGACCAAACUUUGAGAAGCACCAAUUUAAAUCUUCUUUGUCUUAUUUUUUGCCUGUUUGAUUAAUCAGUGCCUAAAGAAAACUUGUUGAAGAACUCCGUGAUUGUGAUUUUGUAAAUUUGUUCCCACAAUUAUGUCAGGUUUUGCCUAACCACUGAGCCACAUCCCCAGAACAUUUUAUUUUUGAUAAGGUCUUGCCAAGUUGCUCAGGCCCUCACUAAGUUUCUGAGGCUGGCUUUGAACUCACGAUCCUCCUGCCUCAGCCUCCCAAGCCACUGGGAUUAGAGGCAUGCACCACUGCACCUGGCUGUUUUCUGUAUUUCUCAGCAGUGUUGUUAAGUACGUAUAAGUCUGUGAUAAUUUGAUCUAAGUAGGCUUUACUUUGUUUUAGCAUGAUGUGUGGUAAACACUUAUAGUGACUUCAUUCCCCUUUGUCUAAUCUUCUGAAUAUAUAAUCUUCCCCUCUCUCCCAUUAUUGUAGUCUAGCUUCCUCAUAUCAGUAAAAACAUGGACCUUUGGCUUUUGUGGACUGGCUUAUUUCACUUAGCACGAGAGUUUUUGGAUCCAUCCAUUUACUUGCAAACACCAUUAAGCCAUUCUUCUUUAUGGCUCAGCAAUACUCCAUUGUGUGUACAUAGACCACAUUUUCUUUAUCCACUCAUUUGUUGACGGGCACCUAGGUUGGUUCNGAGCCAAGAGAAAACCUUUCCUCUUCACAAGUUGAUUGCCUCAGGUAUUUGUUGUAGUAAUGGAAAACUGACUAACACAAUAAAAAAAUCACCUGUUUUACUGGACAGUGCUUAAACACACAACUGCUCUCUUGAAUAACACAAUCUCUGAAAUACAUUAAAAGCUAUGGUUCCACUAGUAAAGCUACUGGAAGCCGAGACCUAUAGUGAGCAGUCUUACAUUCAGCCUGCUGGUUUUGAUGUAUGUUAGGGAUUGAACUGUGUUUUCCAAAAAGAUGUUGAAGUUCUAAUACUAGGAACAAAUCCCUCCCUGGGGCCUUCAGAGGAAGCCAGUCUCGCCCACACCUUGAUCUCAGACUUCUGGCCUCGAGAACUGUGAGACAAUAAUUUCUACUGUUUAAGCCACUCAGUUUUGUGUUCUUGGUUGUGGUGGUCCGAGAAAACUAAUAUUAAAUAGUAGUGAGCAUAGAUCAGAGACAGCCCUCUCAAAUUCUAAUUAUCAUAAAACAAACAACACGAAAUUGUUGAACAUAAAUUAUCUCAACUAGACUAAACACACAUUCACACACACAUGCACACACUAUUCUCUGUGUUAGAAGAAGAAGACCACAGUUCUCUCAUUCCCAGGAGGGUGUGACUGAUGAUCCAGUGAUCCUCUUGUAGAUAUGAAUGUGCUUACUCCCUGGGGUUGAUCUAGGCCAUUCUUGAACUGGAUCCACCACAGGGGACCUCAUUAAAGGAAAACCCAGAACACCCAGGAAAAGGAGAGCAGUCUUGUGUAGCUCUGCAGAGGGAUGGAAGCCUUCAUGCUUAACAAAUCCUAGUGUACUGGGUCAAGACAUGUCCCAUAAGGUUUCUCCCAUAAGGUUUUGGGUCCUUCAUGCCAACAAGGGCUUUCUACUACUGUGCCAUUAAUAAGAUGUGGUGGUCCUCUGUGAGACUUAGACAGUCCUUGAAUGUGAGGAGAUGGGAUACGUUCAGACACAGAUGUAGGUUACGAUUCCUGUCACAGUUUAGAAGGUCAGUGUGUAACGGGAUGACUACAUGAUGUCGCCUUUCUCAUCACCCCAUGAGGGUGCAUGCAGCUUCU
rnacentral:lncRNA from 1 species